UUAAAUGACUUGUACACCUGUCAAACAAGUAAGCUGUGAUCGUAAGUCGUGAGUCAAGUAGUUGUUAUAAGCAAUAUCAUACGAUAAGUAUGUGUUAGUGUGGGGACAAGAUCAAAGCCGUCAACGAUGGUGCCGUUAUGCCGUUAUCGGAAGCGCAUUCCGACGACUUGGCCUUCGUCCUCACCUCCUCGUACCGACGUUGUUUGGAACGACCACAUCGUCGUUCUGUGUCUUUCGAAGGAAAAAUCGUGUAAAUACCAUCGUACCACGCGUAGCAUAUGGAUAUAACACGCUUGACCCAUACACUGAGAGAAAGUGUCACAAAACCAUGCCACUGAUUGAACGUUUUCACGAUAAACAAAAUAUAAAUACGAUGAAACUAUACAGGAUGCAUACGACCACGAGACAUAUCGUAAACUAACAAGUUAGCCGGCAGAGGGCCGCAUUUACCGUUUGCUUUUAUGUGUGUAUGUACAGUAUGAUGCAUGACGAUGUUACGAUUAAGUGGUUGUUCGUAAUUGUAGUGCAUUACAAUUUGACAACCGAAAAGUAUAUGAUCAUUCUACAUAUCAUUUAUAAGACAAAUACAUAUGUACAAUUGAAACAUUAUCAUAAUUAAUAUCACGCAGUAAAGUUAUAUUUUACGAUAAUUAAGUUACUCUUAAUUUCAAAUAUAAAUUUUAAGGUUUACCUAUGACAGAUAAUUAAGAAUGCGCAUGCGCAAUUGUACGCGCGUAAUUUAAUGUAACAAAGCGCGUUAUUUCAAAUUUAUUAUAUGUAAUACUCGUUUUAUAUUUGACACUGUAAAAAUACUACAUUCUUACCUGUUAGUGAAUAUGUGCGCUUCCGGAUGAGAAGGUGAUAAAACUACUUGAUUGACACCCGAUGACGCUUCUGUUUCCUGAGAUUCAAAUUUGUACAUCUCAGGUUGCGACAAUGUCUCUGUCCCGGCAGGGGUACGCAUGGUUGCUUAUUGUUUUGUAUUCCAAUUCUGUA